rnacentral:misc_RNA from 2 species
AAGUCGUAACAAGGUUUCCGUAGGUGAACCUGCGGAAGGAUCAUUACAAGUGAGGCUACCGAACGUUGGAAACAGCGGUUAGGAGCUUACACCCACCCGUGUUUACAUACUAUUGUUGCUUUGGCGGGCCGUGGCCUCCACUGCGGGCUCUGCUCGUGUGUGCCCGCCAGAGAACCAAACUCUGAAUGUUAGUGAUGUCUGAGUACUAUCUAAUAGUUAAAACUUUCAACAACGGAUCUCUUGGUUCUG